rnacentral:lncRNA from 1 species
AAUGUGUCAAAGAGACAAAAACCCUACUAAGAGCAGAAACCAGAUAAAAGGCCAACAAUAGGUCUUCAACACAGUGGGAAAAUCCUGCACCAGGAAGUAGAUGUCAGCUGGCCCUCAACAAAAAUGUGUACAGGUUCUUAAAAAAACAAAGGCAUACAUAUAUGAAGAAAACAAAUAAAUGAACUGUAUACUUUCUACUCGCGUCAUCAUACUAUGGCUUACAAUAGGGCCAUUAAAAGAAUAGGUUUGAUUGCCCUAAUACUACCUACCAGAA